rnacentral:rRNA from 1 species
GUCGAGGAUCAUUCGCAAUGGGGGAAACCCUGACGAUGCGACGCUGCGUGGAGGAUGAAGGCCCUCGGGUCGUAAACUCCUGUCAUAUGGGGCAAGGGCGCGGGCGCUAACAGCGUCUCGCGCUUGAUGGUACCAUAAGAGGAAGCCACGGCUAACUCUGUGCCAGCAGCCGCGGUAAUACAGAGGUGGCGAGCGUUGUUCGGAUUUACUGGGCGUAAAGCGUGCGUAGGCGGUCGCGUAUGUCGGAUGUGAAAUCCCGGGGCUCACCCCCGGAAGUGCAUCCGAAACUGCGCGGCUAGAGGCCGGGAUGGGUGACUGGAACACAUGGUGUAGCGGUGAAAUGCGUUGAUAUCAUGUGGAACACCGGAGGCGAAGGCGAGUCACUGGAACGGAUCUGACGCUGAGGCACGAAAGCGUGGGGAGCAAACAGGAUUAGAAACCCGGGUAGUCC